rnacentral:lncRNA from 1 species
UUGAAGAUUAAAUGUUCGAUCUCUGUUGGAACUUCCUCUACCCAGUAGAUCGGAGGAUCAUACUGUUAUCCAUAAAAUGCUAUUCCAUGCGCCGCCCCAUUCGCUGAUCGGAAAGUGUGCUAAAAAGAUAUGUUUCCAAAUCUUGAAUAUCUAUUUUUUAUUUCUUUUAUAAUGUUUGCUAUCUCUGACCUGUCAUUGUGUUCGUCGUUCAGUUUUUUUACCACUGUCAGAGUAUCUCCUUCAACACAUAUAUCUUGAAAACCAAGUUCCUCUGCGAAAGUGACCGCUUGUAGACAAGCCCAUGCCUCGGCCGUGGUAGAAUCCCAAACAUUUUGCCAUUGGUGAGUACAAGCUCCCAUUACAAAGCCCUCGUUGUUUCUUAUUAUAACACAUCAUUUUGCCCGUUUUAAAAGUUUAUAAAAAGAUGCAUCAAAGUUUACUUUGACUUGAUCUCCCUCCGGAGGUCUCCAUGUGUCAUUUUUAUUCCUUUGCAAAAACUCUGUGAUUCCUUCUGUUUGUGAUAUCUCUAUGAUAUAACUUCUAACGAAACCAUCUAUUUCCUGUGCUUUAUUUAAAAUGCCUUCAUGUAUAAAUUUGUUUCUGCUAAACCAAAUUGCCCAAAAGGCUACAGCUAUGGUAACACAGAGGUGUGAACUUUUGUCGCCUAAUUCCAUUACUAACCUAUUUUUCCAAUCAUUUUCCGUGUUUCUGUUUGAAAGUGUAACCUCAAGCUCCUGGUCAACUUGUUUUGUCAGCUUGCAAUCUCUGAAACAGUGGGCCACGGUUUCAUCAUCCUCUUUGCAGAUCGGGCAAUUCGCCUCUGUCCUUAAUCUCCUUAUUUUUAGGUUGUAAAAUAAUUUUUUUUGUAGCUUUAUCGUGUAUUGUAUUAUUAUUUCCUAGCUGGUGUAGACCACUUGUAAUUUGCCAUUUGUAUCCACUUUUUACUGUAUAAUUACCCGAAUUGUCUCUUCUCCAUACUAGUUCAUCUGAUUGCAUGCUGUCAACUACAGGAAUUGAUGUUAUUUGCUCCGCUUGUUCUUCACUGAAGAACCUUGUGAUAUCUUCAGAAUUCCAGGUAUUUUCUUAUUAAUUAAAUCAGAGACUGUUGUGAAAUUUAUAUUGAUGUUCUGAACCUCAAUUCUACCGUUUCCAGGUUUUGGCAGCCAUAUAUCAUUACAAAUGUUUCCCGAUUCUCCAUCCCAUCCCUUGUUGUAAAAGGGUACGUUCUCCUCAUAUGCUACGCUAGAUAUAAGAGGGGUAAGCACCUAAAUUUGCGUUCAUAAAAUCUCCAUAAGGAUAGUACUUAGCCCUCAUAACCUGUGCCAAUAAACUGUUUGGUUGACUAUUAGGGUACGUUUGGUUCACUGUGAUGGAAUAAUGUUAUAAUUGAACAGAGCUGUAAUAAGUAAUUUAACUGUUUGGUUGAAUGGAAUGGAAUAGAACUGUA